CCUACGGGUGGCAGCAGUGAGGAAUCUUGGUCCAUGGGCGCGAGCCUGAACCAGCCAAGUAGCGUGAAGGAUGACUGCCCUACGGGUUGUAAACUUCUUUUAUAAAGGAAUAAAGUGAGGCACGUGUGCCUUUUUGUAUGUACUUUAUGAAUAAGGAUCGGCUAACUCAGUUCCAGCAGCCGCGGUAAUACGGAGGAUCCGAUCGUUAUCCGGAUUUAGUGGGUUUAAAGGGAGCGUAGAUGGGUUGUUAAGUCAGUUGUGAAAGUUUGCGGCUAAACCGUAAAAUUGCAAUUGAUACUGGCAGUCUUGAGUACAGUUGAGGUAGGCGGAAUUCGUGGUGUAGCGGUGAAAUGCUUAGAUAUCACGAAGAACUCCGAUUGCGAAGGCAGCUUACUAAACUGCCACUGACAUUGAUGCUCGAAAGUGUGGGUAUCAAACAGGAUUAGAUACCCCAGUAGUC
rnacentral:rRNA from 1 species